UGACGCCGCCGCUAACGCAGAAGGCCCGGGAUGCUGUCUCAGCAUCCCGGGCCUUCUGCGUUACCGGUGCGGGAU
rnacentral:sRNA from 1 species